rnacentral:rRNA from 1 species
AGAGUUGAUCAUGGCUCAGGAUGAACGCUGGCGGCGUGCCUAAUACAUGCAAGUCGAACGAGGUGGAAGGGAGCUUGCUCCUGGAUGCCUAGUGGCGAACGGGUGAGUAACACGUAGGUAACCUGCCCUUAAGCUUGGGAUACCCAGAGGAAACUUUGGCUAAUACCGGAUAACAACAGAGGAGGCAUCUCCUUUGCUUGAAAGGCCCUUUACGGGGUCACUUAAGGAUGGACCUGCGGCGCAUUAGCUAGUUGGUGAGAUAAAAGCCCACCAAGGCGAGGAUGCGUAGCCGACCUGAGAGGGUGAUCGGCCACAUUGGAACUGAGACACGGUCCAAACUCCUACGGGAGGCAGCAGUAAGGAGUUUUCGGCAAUGGGGGAAACCCUGACCGAGCAACGCCGCGUGAGUGAUGACGGCCCUAUGGGUUGUAAAGCUCUGUUGUAAGGGACGAAUGAUUAGCUUAGGAAAUGAAGCUAGUUUGACGGUACCUUACCAGAAAGCCACGGCUAACUACGUGCCAGCAGCUGC